rnacentral:lncRNA from 1 species
CUUCUACCAUAAGCGGUCUGCUCCGAGCUACCACUACAAGCGGUCUGCUCCGAAUUUCUACUACGAGCGGUCCACGUCGGAUUUCUACUGUAAGCCUCUACCUGAGCUUCUAUUGUGAGCAAAUUUCUUCUGAACUUCUAUUGCAGGCAGGCUUCGAUCGAGCUUUCUCGAUAAAUGAUCCCCAUCCGGACUUCUACAGAGACCGGACUCUGAUCGAACUUCUGUAGCGGACAGGUUCCAGACGAACUCCUACGACACAUAGACUCCAG